UACAGAGGGUGCGAGCGUUAAUCGGAAUUACUGGGCGUAAAGCGCGCGUAGGCGGCUUUGCAAGUCGGGUGUGAAAUCCCCAGGCUUAACCUGGGAACUGCAUUCGAGACUGCAUUGCUAGAGUAUGGGAGAGGGAAGUGGAAUUUCCGGUGUAGCGGUGAAAUGCGUAGAUAUCGGGAGGAACACCGGUGGCGAAGGCGGCGACCUGGGUAGAUACUGACGCUGAGGCGCGAAAGCGUGGGGAGCAAACAGG
rnacentral:rRNA from 1 species